rnacentral:misc_RNA from 1 species
GAUGAAGAACGUAGCGAAAUGCGAUAAGUAAUGUGAAUUGCAGAAUUCAGUGAAUCAUCGAAUCUUUGAACGCACCUUGCGCCCUUUGGCCAUUCCGAAGGGCAUGCCUGUUUGAGUAUCAUGAACACCUCAACUCUUUAUGGUUUUCCAUGAUGAGCUUGGACUCUGGGGGUUUUGCUUGCUCACAGUCGGCUCCUCUAAAAUGAAUCAGCUUACCAGUGUUUGGUGGGUAUCAUGGGUGUGAUAACUAUCUACGCUUGUGGUUUUUCCACCAGGUAACCUUCAGCAGUGGAGGUUCGCUGGAGCUCAUAGAUGUCUCUCCUCAGUGAGGACAGCCCUUUGAAUGUUUGAUCUCAAAUCAGGUAGGACUACCCGCUGAACUUAAGCAUAUCAAUAAGCGGAGGA